ACGGGUGAGUAACACGUGGGUGAUCUGCCCUGCACUUUGGGAUAAGCCUGGGAAACUGGGUCUAAUACCGAAUAGGACCACGCGCUUCAUGGUGUGUGGUGGAAAGCUUUUGCGGUGUGGGAUGGGCCCGCGGCCUAUCAGCUUGUUGGUGGGGUAAUGGCCUACCAAGGCGACGACGGGUAGCCGGCCUGAGAGGGUGACCGGCCACACUGGGACUGAGAUACGGCCCAGACUCCUACGGGAGGCAGCAGUGGGGAAUAUUGCACAAUGGGCGCAAGCCUGAUGCAGCGACGCCGCGUGAGGGAUGACGGCCUUCGGGUUGUAAACCUCUUUCAAUAGGGACGAAGCGCAAGUGACGGUACCUAUAGAAGAAGCACCGGCCAACUACGUGCCAGCAGCCGCGGUAAUACGUAGGGUGCGAGCGUUGUCCGGAAUUACUGGGCGUAAAGAGCUCGUAGGCGGUUUGUCGCGUUGUUCGUGAAAACUCACAGCUUAACUGUGGGCGUGCGGGCGUUACGGGCAGACUAGAGUACUGCAGGGGAGACUGGAAUUCCUGGUGUAGCGGUGGAAUGCGCAGAUAUCAGGAGGAACACCGGUGGCGAAGGCGGGUCUCUGGGCAGUAACUGACGCUGAGGAGCGAAAGCGUGGGGAGCGAACAGGAUUAGAUACCCUGGUAGUCCACGCCGUAAACGGUGGGUACUAGGUGUGGGUUCCUUCCUUGGGAUCCGUGCCGUAGCUAACGCAUUAAGUACCCCGCCUGGNGAGUACGGCCGCAAGGCUAAAACUCAAAGGAAUUGACGGGGGCCCGCACAAGCGGCGGAGCAUGUGGAUUAAUU
rnacentral:rRNA from 1 species